UCUUAGGGAUAGGAAUCAAGUUUGCAAAGACGCUCCGAGGCAUCCACACUUAAGCGAUCAGGGAACUCGAGCAAUCGCCAUUCUUUAGCGCUAUACUUCGCUCGCUCACUUUUUACUUCACUUACUUACUUACUUACACUAAAACACAUUGCAUUAACUUACUUACUUACUUACAAUCUUAGUAUAAGUAUUAUAUCUGUACAACUUAACAAUAUAGUACCUUAGUUAAUUCUCAAUCUACUUCUAUCCACAGCACACUCUCUUUUAUUCUUGUACUUGCAUUAAUCACGAUCACAAUCACGACUACUAUUACUAUGAGCUAGCUACUAUGGGACUAUAAAAUUAUGAACUAUGAGUAUAACUGCGGUGAGACACUCUCUAGCGAAGGUGCACGAGGAAACUGCACGUACACGCACCAAACCGUGAGCAAGAGUUAAGUUAAAUAAAGAGAGAAAAGGAGGGAGAGAGAAACUGAGAGCGAGGUAUACACGAGAGUACGUAAAGAAAACGCCAGUCUGUGCUAUAUAUAUAUAUAUACAUAUAUAUUAUAUACCUGCACACGUGAAAAAACUCACCGACAAUGCAUCAGAGCGCCGCAGGUGUGUCUCAGUACGGACAACGUCGAGGUUGGGGGACUUUUCUCGACUUAAAACUUAACUGGUAUUAAAAUUUUAGAUAAUUAUAAAUAUUUUAAUCACCGAAAAUACUGUCCUUCGCAUUACAACGUGUCUGUCACUCUCUACACAUAUCUUGACACCCAUUAACGUGAGUAGCUUAGCACACAUUAACGCCGUACGUGUGUGAGACUCAUACACACAUUAAUCUAAUCGGGUCAGCCAGAUUUUCGCACUGCCCGUACACAGUACACUCUACACCGUACAGCACACUUAAAUCCAGAUGUGUAUACACGUAAGUACCUACACACAAAUAUUAAGUGCUGAUGUGUGCGUGAAAGAAUCAUGAAAUCAACGAUGCCUAGAACGAUAUAAUUCCCAGACUGCGUUUCGCUAGUCGAGUGCCACUCUCGGCGGUCAUGAAUACGAUCCGAACGGAGUUAAAACAAGGAAACGGGAUAGUAACCUGAAAAAAUAAUAUUAUUAAUAAUAAUAAGGAGUAUCAAGAUCAACAUUUUAAAUAAACUACUCUACUCGAUAAAAAAUAAAAAAUAAAAAAAAUAUUAAGGACUCAGUAGUCCAACGAAAGAGCUAAAAGUCACGCUCAAUUAGCGGACGGAAGUACUCCUCAUAGCGUCCAUCUCGGGUCUCGGGUACAUGUUUUUUUAUCCUCACACACUGUUCUCAAGCUCUGCUCGUGCUCUAAUGUUUGCUUUACUACUUACUACAAGUAAAGUACAAGUACUUUGAUUCGCGUUUACGUUAUUUCGCUCACGAGGAAAUCAGAGUUUACUCCGCUGGUAAUACAUCAGAAAUAUGCUCGCGAAACAUAACACGCAUGGCAGCCAAGGACACGAAUGCCGAGCUUGAAUUUUACCAUUGGUUAGCUAGCAAACGCCAUGCUGCUUGCGAUUAUUAACAUCUGUUUUGAUUCCAUUGAGUUAUUUCUUUUCUGGCUCAAACUACACGCCCACAUAUCUUCAGCGUGUUACCCUUAACAGUUAUUUCAAUAUGAAUUAUUUUGGAGUACUUAUUUUAAUUUUAAGCCAAAUUUUUUUUUGGAGGAAGAAGAAGAGCAACCGGCGUACGACAAAGGUGAGCUGAGGGUAGAAUUAAUAGAAGCUACGAUUAUUUCCGAAAAAAUAUUUACAAAAUGGCGGACACAAAAAAUAUAAAAUUCAGCUGACAGUUGUUAAUUUUUA